CCUUGACUUCUGCCAUGAUUCUCCCCAGCCACGUGAAACUUGAGCUAUCUUUGGAAUGAGCAGCCUGCAUUCAGAAAUUGAAGUUGACUUAUAGAGCCAAUAAAAGCCCCUUGGAAGAGCUGGUCUUGUACCUUGUCUAUGCAGUUCCUUUACAGGAUUUCUGAUGUGAAAGUCUUGCUCCGUCAUCCAAGCUGGAGUGCAGUGGUGCAAUCAUAGCUCACUGCAACCUCCACCUCCUGACUGAAGCAAAUCUUAUUCCUAACAGCUUGCAAAGUGGAUUUUAUCAUCAUCAUUUUAAAAAUUAUGGAAUCGAGGAUCAAAGAAGCCAAGUGACUCGUGCAAGAUGACACAGUUAAGUGACAGAACCAGUAGUGAGUCCCAGGUCUCUCUGGAUAUAAAAAGUCCAUGGUUAUUCCACUGUAUCAGUGUUUCCCAAAACUGACUUUAGGUGGAACAUAAAUAAGCUUUUAAGAAACUUUAAUAGUUAUAUGUUUAUUUUAAUGCAUGUUAGAAACAAUUUUAAGCAAAUUCACAAAACCUUUAAUUUCAUGGACAAUAUUGCAAAGGACGGGGAUGUUUUGUUUCAAACUCCUGGCUUCAAGUGAUCCCCCCAUCUUAGCCUCUCAAGUACCUGGGAUUACAAUGUAAGCCAUUGCACGCUGCUGGGACAAGGGUGUUUUGUAAAGUAAAUUUAUUUAGAAAAAAUGU